rfam:Thermanaerothrix daxensis strain GNS-1 contig_1, whole genome shotgun sequence.
GGGCGUGUAGCUCAACAGGCAGAGCAGUGGCCUUUUAAGCCAUUGGUUCAGGGUUCGAAUCCCUGCACGCUCA